AGUACAAUGCCUUUAAUUUCAUGGCAUGUGAUUUUUUAGCUCUUCUAAAGCAGUUGUUUACCUAUGAUAAAUGAUUUCCUUUAUUAUGGAAGUGAAAACGGAAGAUCUUCGUGGAUCCAAAAACAUUUUGGAAGCAAGAUUAAGACAUUGUUUACUUUGGUUUUAAGUAAGUCCUGAGCUUUGAAGUAUUUUUACCCCUAGCGGUCAGUCCCUUCUUUUGUCUUGCCUUACAGUUUUUUCAUUCCUCAUGGCUGAUUCUUGACUUGGGGAAUGUGUGGCAGAGGUGGGGCCAGGCGUGAAGAUGCGAUGUUUACCUGUGGCUGAACGGUGCAUGGCAGAGUACAGACGGGGGAUGCGGGGAAAGAGUAAAACUUCUCCAGAUGUAAACCACUGUGUUUUAGCUAAAUAAUGUUAUGGGCUUUAUAUUAGUUUCCCGUGUCUGCUGUAACAAAUUACUCCAAACUUGGUGGCUUGAAACAAUGGAAAUUGAUUCUCUCACGGUUUUGGAGGCCAGAAGUCUGAAAUCAGCAUGACUGGGCUGGAAUCAAGGAGCUGGCAGGGUUAGACCCUCUCCCAAGGCUACCGGGAGAAUCUGUUCCUUGCCUCUUCCAUCUUCUGUUAGCCAUCAAUAUUCCUUGACUUGUGGCUGCAUCACUCCAGCAUCUUCAGAUCCCUCUCUGCUCCCUUUUCACAUCCCCGUUUCUUCUGCGUGCCAGUGAUCCCUCUGCCUCUCUUUUCUAAGGACGCUUGUGACUGCAUCUAGGACUUCUCCGGAUAAUCCAAGACCAUUUCCCCAUCUCAAGAUUCUUAGCUUAAUCACUUCCCAAAAGAUCUUCCCCCUUUCUUUCUUUUUUUCUUUUCUAUCCUUUCCUUUUCUUUCUUUUUUCUUUUCUCUUUUGUCCUUCCUUCCUUCCUUGCCUGCCUGCCUUCCUUCCUUCCUUCUAUCCUUCCUUUCUUUUUUUUUUUGCCAUAUAAGGUAACAUUCACAGGCUUCAGGAAUUAGGACAUAGAUAUCUUUUGGGAGGGCAUUUUUUAACCUAUCCCAGACUCUGUUUGUUCCAAAUGAAUCAACUAACCAUCAGGGUUCCUAUAUCUUCUCUCUCUUCUGAUGUAAUCUGGUAAGUGUUAAGAGCAUACAUGUAUUAAUAUAUUAAUUCAACAUAUAUUUAUUUAAGACUUACCAUGUGCCUGUCACUAAAUUCUAUGUCUAUGAUGAUGAGCAAAUAGACAUAGUCCCUUGUCCUCACGGGGCUUCUAGUCUGGUUGGGGAGAUGGUCAUUAAACAGAUACUCAAAAAAAUAUACCCCAAAUUGGUAAAUGCUACACAGAAGAGGUGGCUUUUACCAGAGUCUUGAGGAAGGUCCAUCUGGAGAAGUAAUGUUUCAGCUGAGAUUUGAAAGACAGUGAGAAGUGAGCCAGGCUAGGAACAGAAAGGAGAGCAUGUUAGUAGAGGGCCAGCCUACAGCUGGAAGGAACUUGGAGCUUUGGAGGAACUGUAAGAAUUGUUGGUAGAACUUACAGAGCUGUGGGAAGACUGGGGUGAAAGGAGACUGGAGAUGUCAUCAGGGGACAAAUAAGGCAGGGCCUUGUAGAAAUCUGAGCUUCAUCCCAAGUGUAGUAGGAAGACCGGGGGGCUUAAGCAGUGGCAGGAUGGGAACAGAGGUGGGUAUGACAUGAUCUGAUUUAUGUCUUUCCAGAAUUACUCAGGUUUCUGGUUGGAGGAUGGGUUGACAGGAAUAGAGUGGUAACAAUGGCAUGGUGAAAUCCGAGGUGUGACCGUAGUCCAGACAAGAGGCAAAAUUGGUUUGGACCAGGGUUGGAGAUACUGCUGGUGGAGAAAAUUGGAAAAAUGCAAGAUAUGCUCUGGAGAAAUGACAGGAUGGUCUCAGAAAUCAAGAGUUUUAUGUGAGGGAGUCAUGAGGAAGAGGGAGGUGUCAAGGAUGACUCCCAAGUUCCUGGCAUAAGCAGCUAGAUGGAUGGGGGGUGCCAUUUGAUGAAAGUAGGAGGACAGGAGGAGGAGCAGAUUUGAAGAAAAGAUCCUGAAUUCAAGUUUUUACAUGCUAAUCUUUAAGAAGUCAUUUGGCAUAGUGCCUGGCACGGAGCACACCAUAAAUAGUAGCUUCUGCUUUAGUCAUUUCAGAAUCAUGACUGGCCUUUGAGUCCAAACAUUUAGGUUCUAGCUCUGGCUAGGCCACUUUAGAGAAAUAAACCUCUUUUGGCAUUAGUGUCCUCAUCUAUAAAUUGGAGGCAAACUGGAUGCGUUUUGUGGUCCCUUCCAGGUUUAAUAUGCCUGCGAUGCUAUGAAAGUCUUUGGUCUUGACCACCUGGAACUCUCCUCUGGCCAGCUGGAUCUGCUUCAUGGAAGCUGAUGAACUAGAACUCUGCAUAUGGGUGGCAGUUUUUGGUGGAAGCUGACGCAGAGGGAGCUCUGGCCAAGGCAAACUGUGGCUAGCGAGGAGGCCUCAUGACGAAGGGGAAGGAUGUGGUUUGAGGAGAGCAGCAGCUGCUGCUGUCACCAGACAAGCAUGAAAUUCGCUGAGCUGCAGAGGAGAGUGCAGCCGCGGAUGGCUGUUUAUUAAUUGACGAAUUAAUGUGAUCUGGGGCAUAGGGAGAAAUGGCGAUGGGCAGAAGACGAAGUCAGAAAUUCUUAUUUCCUUCUUUCCUGUGCCCUCAUCUGUUACUGGCAGAGUCGUUGUUGGAGCCAGAGUGGGUUUUGGGGAUAGACCAUCUGCAGUCCAACUCCUCAUCACUGACAGAUAAAGAAACCAAGGUCAACGACAAGUUCCACAGCAGCAGAGUUAUGCUAGCCCUUAAGUCUUUUCACACCUGGCCCACCAGGCUUUUCUGCCCCACUAGGCUGCCAGGGAGGGUUCCCGGGAGCCAUUUUAGGCCCCAUUUUGGAAAAAGAGUCAAGUUUGGUUUCAUUUGCCUUAGAGCAGACCCCCGAGAGAUUGUUCAUUCCUCCCCACUCCAGACGUAAAAAUACCCUAGGUAAUUUGUUACACUUUGGGCCCUCUCCUCAGUCAGUACUUUAUUACUCAAAGUAAACCUGCCUGGACCCUGAUUCUAUAGGGAUCCUUCUGUUCACCUGACCUCAUCUGGGUUCCUUGGUGGUCAUAACGGCACGUGCUCUUCCAAAGCACAUCCUGCCUGUGCCCAAGUCUUUCAUUAGCUUAGACAGCGUCGUCCUUUUCCUCAGGUGUUGGUUGGUCACUUUUUAAAAACUGAACGAUGGAUUUGUUUAUGAGGAAGAGCUGAAAGGGAACUUACUAGGAAAGUUGCUGCUUCAUCCUGUGAUUGUGGUUAGCUUGUGAGUAAUCGAAUUCCCUGGCCUCUUCUUUGGAAGCAAUGACUGGUCAGUCUGUGGCUUUACUGUUGUUUCACAACGUAGGAGGCAGAGCACCCUCCCUCUACCUAACAGUUGAACUUAGAACACCUCGUCAGGGGAGCCGAAGAAGACUUCAGGUGUGCCUGUUGCCCAGUAAGCACAGUUCUCUAGAAGUCACUAUCGGGCUGAGCUCGGAGCAGGAUCCCUAAAGAAAAGCAGGCCCCUGGGCCUGAGGCGUAGCAUAGAGUAGGCUCGGGGAGUCCUCCGCAGUAUCAGGCAUGCGCUGUGGGUGAGGCAGGGACAGUCUGGAGCAGAGAUUUCUCUCUUGAAUGGGGGGAUGAACAGUGAGGUGAGCCAUCCUUUACGAGACUUUCUUCAAGGCGGGAGACCACAUUCUGAGGAAAGGGAGGGCUUGGUUUCCAGAGGCCACACAUCUGGUUGACCUCCUUCCAGUCUCCUUGAACAUGCUGUGCUCAUUACUGAAACAGAGGUUUCCCUGCUGUCCAUCCCCACCCUGGGGACACCCAGCCAGUUUCUACUGCCUCUGCGGGUUCAGCCCCUCUUGUGAGGCUCCCCUCAAGGGCCAGCUCCUCCCUGGAACCUUUCCCAAGAACUCUAGUCCUCAUUGGCCCCUUGGUUUCUGCAUGCCUUCCAUAAUUGCAAUCUCAUUGCACAGUCUCACUCUUUGUUCUUUGCUGCUGUGUGUUGUUUCCUCUGGAUGGGUGUGUUGGGGAGGGAGGAUGGGCAGUUUGUGCGUGUCCUUUUUCACUGGCUAAAUCACUAACUUCUUAAGGACAAGAACUCAGUCUUGAAUUUGUCUGUAUUCUCUCAUAGUAUCAGACUGAAUUCUGAGGACGAAAUGUGUUCUCACGAAUACUUGCCUACUUGUUCUAAAGAGUUCUCAAUGUGUUUGUCAGAUAAUGGACUUUUUAGAGACACACAUUAAGUCUACCUGUGCCUGCUUUUCAGAUUAUUUUCAAAAUCGUAUUGCUAAGAUUUAAUGUGGCUGCACAAGACAGAAAACUCAAAGUAGAAUGACUUAAUUACGAUUGGACUUUCUUGGGACACCUGGGUGGCUCAGUUGGUUGAGUGUCCAACUCUUGAUUUCAGCUCAGGUCAUGAUUUCAGGGUCCUGAGAUCAAGCCCUGCGUCAGGCUCUGUGCCAGGUGUGGAGCCUGCUAGGGAUUCUCUCUACCCCUCCUCCCACCUCCUCUCUCUCAAAAAAAAAAAAAAAAAGAUAAGACUUUCUUUCUCCAUGGAACCAACGGGCAAUGGGAAAGAGUCCAGGGUGGGUGGGACUCCACAAGGCAAGCACCCAGCCUUAGCCUUCUUUCUCUCUUGCUGCUCUGCUGUCCUAACAGGUGGUGUUCAUUCUCAAGAUCAACACAUAUUCUACAGUGGCUGUUUUUGACCUCCAGCCAUUACAUGCACAAUUUAGGCAGCAAGAAGGAGAGAGGGAAGAGGAGGAGGAGGAAGAAGGGGCAAAGGGCUUGCAUCAGCUGUCUCUCAAGGAACUUUCUCAGAAGCUGCUGCAAAAUGCUUUUGUUUGCAUUUUAUUAGUUCAUACCUCAUGACAUCUAGCUGCAAGGGAGGCUGGGAAGUGUAGUCUUUAUUCCAGGUGGUCAUGUAUUCAGUGGAGACUUGGGGUUAUUAAGGAAGAAGGGGGAAAACAGCUAGAGAUUCAGACACAUGGGAUCAGUUGGAUAAAGUGAGGUACACUGGAAUAACUGAGUCUUUUUAGCUUUGUCUCGUCAGACUGUUCGUGAAUUUUCCAGUGAGCCACUUUUUGCGUCUAUUAUGUGCCUGGUACUAUGCUUUGUGUUAAUAGAGCAGAGAACAAGACAGAUCUGGUCUUUACGUUCAAGAAGUUUACAAUUCAGGUUGGGGAGACAACAAUAAAUAGGAGAGCAAAUAAGUGACCAAGAUAACAGGAGAUACUAGUAAGUACUAAAAAGAAAAUAAAAUCACAUGGCCUUAGUUGGUUUCAAAAACUGUCCAUCUAUUGGGUAUGCUUAGGGUUGUUUACUACAUGAAUGAAACAUUCAGUCUUCUUUAAAGCUCUCUUGGUUUCUCUCUUGGAUAGUGCUUCUAAAUCUCUAUGAGCUUUUUAGGUGAAGAAAUGCAUUAAAAAUUGCUUUGCUAGACUAGUUCUAAGAGGAUUUAUUUAGACUGGAUAGUUUUAAGCUGACAUUUCUAAAAAGUUUAUAUCUGAGUAUGUUUAUAUUAAUUAAGGUUUUAUUUAUAUAAUGUAAAUGCACAUUUUCAGGAGCCAUUUAUUUAAACAUGUAAAGACCAUUAAGAAAAGUGUUGUCAGUUACAGAAGAGACUUCUAAUGGUAUGUGUUUAAUAAAGCUGUGUAAUUUAUAAAAUACUUAGAAAAAUGUUAAUGUUUUAUACUUUUUUCCCAAGGGAGGAAUUUUUAUUUCCCUACGUUCCAGACACAAUGGUAUGAUUCAGUUAUUUAAAUUUUAUAAUAGGUUGCCAUUAGAGUCAGAUAUGUCUUUGCAAAGGAAAAAAAAAUUUUUUUUAAGUGAAUAAAACCAAACAAAGAGUCAUCAGCAACGCUUGUGUGGCUUUGAUUUGAUGUGCUUUGUCACAGUCCAAGCUGAUUUCUGGACUCUUGGAGUAAAAUUGCUGGGGUUAAAGAGACAUUUCAUGAAAUUUUCAUUUUGUGACUCUUAUUAACCCAUACCUGAAUGACUUUCUAUUUUCUAGUAUUAAUUUUCAGCUGUUUCAGGCCAUGGCUUAUCAUCUCUCAGUUCUGGUGGAGACCACAAUCUGGAGAAGAAAGAGAACAUCCACCUUGUUUAGAGUAUGUUUAAGGAAAAAGUCCUGGAGAGCAGUUCUGGGCUGGCCAUGCAGGAAUGUUAAUCAGCAGCAGUAAACUGUGCACUGAAGACGUGUUGAAAACAAACCAGGGCUGAGGGAAAAACAGGAAAUUUGACCAAACAACUCUUCCUAGUAACAGCUGGGCCGGAGCUGCGGAUUGCUGACAGUGAAGCAGGAGCCAGCCGAAAACCAGGCAGGCUGAGUACACAAAAAGCCAUAUGGUUCACAAGAGGAAAUGGCCACGCGUUCCCUUUUCAAGAGACAGAGACAGC